GGAAAGUGAGGCUGCCUAGGUUCCCCUGUCGUUGCCUGCAACGCACGGGGGCUAAGAGGGAAGUCGGUGCCCCGUCUCGUUCGGGAAAGCCGGCGCUGCCCCCGCAACUGUAAGCGGCGAGCUGAUGUCCACCAUGUCACUGGGGUAGCCCCCGGGAAGACGGACGGAGGCGAUGAUCCGUGAGCCAGGAGACCUGCCUUAGGCGAAAUAACGUC
rnacentral:ncRNA from 1 species